rnacentral:rRNA from 1 species
AUGAACGCUAGCUACAGGCUUAACACAUGCAAGUCGAGGGGCAGCAUCAUCAAAGCUUGCUUUGAUGGAUGGCGACCGGCGCACGGGUGAGUAACACGUAUCCAACCUGCCGACAACACUGGGAUAGCCUUUCGAAAGAAAGAUUAAUACCGGAUGGCAUAGUUUUCCCGCAUGGGAUAAUUAUUAAAGAAUUUCGGUUGUCGAUGGGGAUGCGUUCCAUUAGGCAGUUGGCGGGGUAACGGCCCACCAAACCAACGAUGGAUAGGGGUUCUGAGAGGAAGGUCCCCCACAUUGGAACUGAGACACGGUCCAAACUCCUACGGGAGGCAGCAGUGAGGAAUAUUGGUCAAUGGACGAGAGUCUGAACCAGCCAAGUAGCGUGAAGGAUGACUGCCCUAUGGGUUGUAAACUUCUUUUAUACGGGAAUAAAGUUAGCCACGUGUGGCUUUUUGUAUGUACCGUAUGAAUAAGGAUCGGCUAACUCCGUGCCAGCAGCCGCGGUAAUACGGAGGAUCCGAGCGUUAUCCGGAUUUAUUGGGUUUAAAGGGAGCGUAGGCGGGUUGUUAAGUCAGUUGUGAAAGUUUGCGGCUCAACCGUAAAAUUGCAGUUGAUACUGGCGACCUUGAGUGCAACAGAGGUAGGCGGAAUUCGUGGUGUAGCGGUGAAAUGCUUAGAUAUCACGAAGAACUCCGAUUGCGAAGGCAGCUUACUGGAUUGUAACUGACGCUGAUGCUCGAAAGUGUGGGUAUCAAACAGGAUUAGAUACCCUGGUAGUCCACACAGUAAACGAUGAAUACUCGCUGUUGGCGAUAUACAGUCAGCGGCCAAGCGAAAGCAUUAAGUAUUCCACCUGGGGAGUACGCCGGCAACGGUGAAACUCAAAGGAAUUGACGGGGGCCCGCACAAGCGGAGGAACAUGUGGUUUAAUUCGAUGAUACGCGAGGAACCUUACCCGGGCUUAAAUUGCAACUGACGGAACCGGAAACGGUUCUUUCUUCGGACAGUUGUGAAGGUGCUGCAUGGUUGUCGUCAGCUCGUGCCGUGAGGUGUCGGCUUAAGUGCCAUAACGAGCGCAACCCUUAUCGAUAGUUACCAUCAGGUUAUGCUGGGGACUCUGUCGAGACUGCCGUCGUAAGAUGUGAGGAAGGUGGGGAUGACGUCAAAUCAGCACGGCCCUUACGUCCGGGGCUACACACGUGUUACAAUGGGGGGUACAGAAGGCAGCUACACGGCGACGUGGUGCUAAUCCCGAAAGCCUCUCUCAGUUCGGAUUGGAGUCUGCAACCCGACUCCAUGAAGCUGGAUUCGCUAGUAAUCGCGCAUCAGCCACGGCGCGGUGAAUACGUUCCCGGGCCUUGUACACACCGCCCGUCAAGCCAUGAAAGCCGGGGGUACCUGAAGUACGUAACCGCGAGGAGCGUCCUAGGGUAAAACUGGUGAUUGGGGCU